AUUGAACGCUGGCGGCAGGCCUAACACAUGCAAGUCGAACGAGUGGCGGACGGGUGAGUAAUGUCUGGGAAACUGCCUGAUGGAGGGGGAUAACUACUGGAAACGGUAGCUAAUACCGCAUACCAUCAGAUGUGCCCAGAUGGGAUUAGCUAGUAGGUGGGGUAAAGGCUAACAUAGGCGACGAUCCCUAGCUGGUCUGAGAGGAUGACCAGCCACCCUGGAACUGAGACACGGUCCAGCCUCCUCCGGGAGGCAGCAGUGGGGAAUAUGGCACAAUGGGCGCAAGCCUGAUGCAGCCAUGCCGCGGGUAUGAAGAAGUCCUUCGGGUUGUAAAGUACUUUCAGCGGGGAGGCGUUACCCGCAGAAGAAGCACCGGCUAACUCCGUGCCAGCAGCCGCGGUAAUUC
rnacentral:rRNA from 1 species